GAAAAGGCAAACCUUGGAUUUCCGUGUCUAACAUUUGACUGUCUGUUUUAUAUGAAAUUUUUUUAUAAUUAGUAUUUUCAUUGUUGUUAGAUGAUAAAACAUGAUUAAUAUUUUAUGCGUGACUUGUCUUUUUAAUUUUUUUCAUAUUUUUUUCAAAUAAGACGGAUGGUCAAACGUUGGACACGGAAAUCCAAG
rnacentral:pre_miRNA from 1 species